UCUAGGAAGCCUGGGGAGCAGUGGGACAGCCAUGGAGUUGCUGACUGGGCAUGGCCUGUG
ensembl:miRNA